rnacentral:tRNA from 1 species
GGGGUUGUGGUUCAGUGGUAGAGCGCUUGCCUAGCAUGCAUGAGGCACUGGGUUCAAUCCUCAGCACCA